UUUUGGAGAAUCCGACACGCACCC
rnacentral:miRNA from 1 species